rnacentral:rRNA from 1 species
AUUGAACGCUGGCGGCAGGCUUAACACAUGCAAGUCGAGCGGGGGAAGGUAGCUUGCUACCGGACCUAGCGGCGGACGGGUGAGUAAUGCUUAGGAAUCUGCCUAUUUGUGGGGGACAACAUCUCGAAAGGGAUGCUAAUACCGCAUACGUCCUACGGGAGAAAGCGGGGGAUCUUCGGACCUUGCGCUAAUAGAUGAGCCUAAGUCGGAUUAGCUAGUUGGUGGGGUAAAGGCCUACCAAGGCGACGAUCUGUAGCGGGUCUGAGAGGAUGAUCCGCCACACUGGGACUGAGACACGGCCCAGACUCCUACGGGAGGCAGCAGUGGGGAAUAUUGGACAAUGGGGGGAACCCUGAUCCAGCCAUGCCGCGUGUGUGAAGAAGGCCUUGUGGUUGUAAAGCACUUUAAGCGAGGAGGAGGCUACUCUAGUUAAUACCUAGGGAUAGUGGACGUUACUCGCAGAAUAAGCACCGGCUAACACUGUGCCAGCAGCCGCCGUAAAAC